rnacentral:rRNA from 1 species
UACGUAGGGUGCAAGCGUUAAUCGGAGUUACUGGGCGUAAAGCGUGCGCAGGCGGUGAUGUAAGACAGAUGUGAAAUCCCCGGGCUCAACCUGGGAACUGCACUUGUGACUGCAUCGCUGGAGUGCGGCAGAGGGGGAUGGAAUUCCGCGUGUAGCAGUGAAAUGCGUAGAUAUGCGGAGGAACACCGAUGGCGAAGGCAAUCCCCUGGGCCUGCACUGACGCUCAUGCACGAAAGCGUGGGGAGCGAACAGG